GGGGUAUCCAUUUCCUUUAUAUAAAUAAUACCGGCUGCCACUUUAACUUCCUAAUCUGGCAUUUGUGAUGUCAUCGGCUUCCAAAGAGAGUUCAGUCAGUUUGAGAGAAUGGCAGAACAGUGUCAAAGAAGGGAUGGGCAGAGAAGGAGACUGAAGGGUAAGGGGGCCUUAAAUCAAGAGGCAAUGGACUGGAGAAUGAGAUGAAUGAAAAGAAGGAUGAAGAUUAAUGUGAUGGACUGUGAUUCUGAGGAUCAACAAGAGAAAGCUCCCAACACAGAAACUAGUCAUCAGGCAAUGAAUUCUUCAGCUAAAACAACUCACUCAAACCCCUACUCUGAAACUUACCACUUAUAUGACUUUGGACCAAUCACAAUAGUAAUAACUAUCAUUUACAAAGCUGUGAGAAUUGGGCUUUAAAGAACACAGCAACACAGAAUCAAUGCUUUUGGAUUAUGGGGCUAUGGAAGAUUUUUGAGAGUCCUUUGGUCAGCAAGGAGAUCAAACCAGUCAUUGCUUAUAGAAAUUAAUUCAGAUUAUUCAUUGAAAGUUCAAAUACUGAAGCUGAAGCAUAAACAUUUUAGCUACAUAUUGAGAAGAUGGGAUUCAUUGGAAAAGGCCUUGAUGUUGGGAAAGAUUGAAAGCAAAAGGAAAAGAGGAAAGGAGAGUUUGAAAUGGAUGGGUAGUAUCACAGAAACAAUGAACAUGA